rnacentral:rRNA from 1 species
GACGAACGCUGGCGGCGUGCCUAAUACAUGCGAGUUGAGCGCUGAAGGUUGGUACUUGUACCAACUGGAUGAGCAGCGCACGGGUGAGUAACGCGUGGGGAAUCUGCCUUUGAGCGGGGGACAACAUUUGGAAACGAAUGCUAAUACCGCAUAAAAACUUUAAACACAAGUUUUAAGUUUGAAAGAUGCAAUUGCAUCACUCAAAGAUGAUCCCGCGUUGUAUUAGCUAGUUGGUGAGGUAAAGGCUCACCAAGGCGAUGAUACAUAGCCGACCUGAGAGGGGGAUCGGCCACAUUGGGACUGAGACACGGCCCAAACUCCUACGGGAGGCAGCAGGAGGGAAUCUUCGGCAAUGGACGAAAGUCUGACCGAGCAACGCCGCGUGAGUGAAGAAGGGUGUCGGAUCGUAAAACUCUGUUGGUAGAGAAGAACGUUGGUGAGAGUGGAAAGCUCAUCAAGUGACGGUAACUACACAGAAAGGGACGGCUAACUACGUG